rnacentral:rRNA from 1 species
GGGGGGGGGGGGGGGCGGGGGGGGGGGGGGGGGGGCGGGCGGGGGGCGCGGGGCGGGGGGGGGGGAGUGGCGGACGGGUGAGUAGCACGUGGGCAACCUGCCCCCGGCUCUGGGAGAACUCCAAGAAAUUGGGGCUACUACCGGAGGUGACCGCUGGCCGCAUGGUCUGGUGGUGGAAAGGGUUUCCGGCUGGGGAGGGGCCCGCGGCCUAUCAGCUUGUUGGGGGGGUAGGGGCCUACCACGGCGACGGCGGGUAGCCGGCCUGCGAGGGUGACCGGCCACACGGGGACUGAGACACGGCCCAGACUCCUACGGGAGGCAGCAGUGGGGAAUAUUGCGCAAGGGGCGGAAGCCUGACGCAGCGACGCCGCGUGGGGGAUGACGGCCUUCGGGUUGUAAACCUCUUUCAGCAGGGACGAAGCGCAAGUGACGGUACCUGCAGAAGAAGCACCGGCCAACUACGUG